rnacentral:lncRNA from 1 species
CUCCACAUUUUCAUGCAUGGUGAGCGUCGAAAAUGCCUGCCAAUACUUUUGCAAAUAAGUAUGACAUAUUACGUUGCACAAAUACUCAGAAAGUCUAAACAAACGAGGAGGGGGGCAGCUACAAUACCUUGCAAUGGUAGUGCACAAAACACAAAAUAAAUGUCAAUUGCACAGCAUUAAAUGCGUAGAUGAAAUGAAUUGCCAC